UGCCAGCAGCCGCGGUAAUACCCAGGGUGUAAGCGUUAAUCGGAAUUACUGGGCGUAAAGCGUGCGCAGGCAGUUUGUUAAGUCAGGGGUGAAAUCCUACCGCUCAACGGUAGAACUGCCUUUGAUACUGGCAAACUUGAGUUAUUGUGAAGUAGUUAGAAUGUGUAGUGUAGCGGUGAAAUGCAUAGAUAUUACACAGAAUACCAAUUGCGAAGGCAGAUUACUAACAAUUAACUGACGCUGAGGGACGAAAGCGUGGGUAGCGAACAGGAUUAGAUA
rnacentral:rRNA from 1 species